rnacentral:pre_miRNA from 1 species
CAGCUCUUUCAUUUCCUGGAGUGAGCCACUGGGUGGCUCCUCUCUUUCCUGGGCUGGGCCACUGGAUGGCCCUGCCGCCGCCGCCUGCGCUCC